rnacentral:lncRNA from 1 species
GAUGAUAAGUGAAGUGGGGCGGCUGUUAAUGUGGAAAUUGAAAAAGUAGAAAGGUAGACAAGUGAGAGGACAAGGUUUAGAACGAAGGGCAACAGUUGGUAACGAACGAAACAAAAGGGACAUGGCCGAUUUUUGGCUAAUGCUCUUUCUCUUCUGUGGAUAAAUUGAAGAAGAUUGGUCCCAACGGCUAAACAAGUGCUUUGCUUCUACGCUUUUUGUUUAUUUAUAUUUUCUUCUGCUUCUUUCUUGUGUGAAGGGGCCACAACU